UACGGGGGGGGCAAGCGUUGUUCGGAAUUACUGGGCGUAAAGGGCUCGUAGGUGGCCAACUAAGUCAGACGUGAAAUCCCCAAGCUUAACUUGGGAACUGCAUCCGAUACUGGAUGGCUUGAAUCCGGGAGAGGGAUGCAGAAUUCCAGGUGUAGCGGUGAAAUGCGUAGAUAUCUGGAGGAAUACCGGUGGCGAAGGCGGCAUCCUGGACCGGCAUUGACGCUGAGGAGCGAAAGCUAGGGGAGCAAACGGG
rnacentral:rRNA from 1 species